rnacentral:lncRNA from 1 species
AUGGUCCAGGAACAACGCGCUGCGUGCGGACCCAGCAGCCAGCGGUGCGAUCACCGGGACUUUCUGACGCCGCGGUCCCUGCGGCCGCUGCACGAAGCUCCCUGCUUUGUGGAGUUUUACCUCCAAUCAGUUUUGUCCAGGGACUUGCAAGGAUCAACUGUCAGCCAGGAUUAUCUAAACAAGAAAAUACACAGGCAUACACCCACCACACAGGAGUGUGAACACACACACGCACACACACACACAAACACACACGCAGAUCUCCUGAGACCUGAAAUUCUACCAACAGCAAAUUAUAUGCUCUGCGUGUAAAGACCGGCUCCUUCCCUGGAUCCCUGUUAAGAUAACUGUACACAGGGUAUCAUAAAGGUCACGAGGGAAAAGGCUGUGGAGGAUCAAUGGAAUGCCCAUCUCCCACGUCCUGUGCUGGAAGAAAGGUGCACUCAAUAUGGCUCAGAUAGGUGCUAAGCCACAACUCAACACUGAAGGAAAUUGAAAAUAAUUUCAAAUAAUCAAAAUUAUAAUGGAAAAUUUAAUAACCAUGAUAAGCAGUAAAUAGCCAUAUUUACUGAUACGUAAUAAUAAAGCCUAACAGAUAUUUUCUAAGUCCAGAAAUAAAAGUUAAUGGUGG